GUGGCUGUGAUGCCACCUUUUGUGGUGUCUCUCAAACUUGAGGACUAGACUAGCUGGAUACCUGGAGCCUACCUGCCUACUCAACAUCUCUGCUUUAGCGUUUCAAAGGCAUUUCAAACUUGACGUGUCCAAAACAUCUGAGUAGUUCCUAAAUCUCCUUUCAUCUUCUGCUUUUCGGUAAUUGGCACUACUGCCCAACUAGUUGAUUAGGCCAAAACUCUGUGUUAUCUCUGCAAAAGGGGUUCCAGGAUCCAGUUCCAACGUGUGUGUGUGUGGAGGGUUCCCACACCAACAGCAGCUCUUGGGUGUCAACAGCAUGUCCUAGAAUUCAACUCAAUUCUGAUGCUGUCUACCCAGAUGUAGAAUCAGAUUCCAUAGGAAAAGCACUCAGUCCCAUACGACCGCGCCUCCACUUCAGGGAUUCUCGUCCUGGGCACAUCUCUCACCCUGACUGCUACAUGAGCCUGCAGAUCAGCUGUAUCUUGGACUUCUUUAAUCCCGCCUGCAGGGAUGCCUGGAGGAGGAGGCACUGGAAUGGAAACCCUGCCUGUCCCUGCACCGGCCCUGGGCAAUGCUGACCACAACCACUGUGCUGCCUGUUCUCUUCCUCCUGGGGCUGGGAGCCACCAGGCAGGGUCCCCCUGUGAAUCCAGUUGAGGUUCAGCCUGUGGUCCGUGGUCCUGGCAGGACCCUUACCUGGGAUGGUGGUGAGGACUCUGGACAGGGUCCAGGUGUCCUGAGCUGGUGGCAGCAGUAUGCUGGCUCCACUCCUCCCACAUCCCUGUGUGUACUGGACCAGAGCUCUGGGGGGUGCCUG